GACGAACGCUGGCGGCGUGCUUAACACAUGCAAGUCGAACGGAAAGGCCCUGCUUUUGUGGGGUGCUCGAGUGGCGAACGGGUGAGUAACACGUGAGUAACCUGCCCUUGACUUUGGGAUAACUUCAGGAAACUGGGGCUAAUACCGGAUAGGAGCUCCUGCUGCAUGGUGGGGGUUGGAAAGUUUCGGCGGUUGGGGAUGGACUCGCGGCUUAUCAGCUUGUUGGUGGGGUAGUGGCUUACCAAGGCUUUGACGGGUAGCCGGCCUGAGAGGGUGACCGGCAACAUGGGGACUGAGAGACGGCCCAGACUCCUACGGGAGGAAGAAGUGGGGAAUAUUGCAAAAGGGGCGGAAGCCUGAGGCAGCAACGCCGCGUGCGGGAUGACGGCCUUCGGGUUGUAAACCGCUUUCGCCUGUGACGAAGCGUGAGUGACGGUAAUGGGUAAAGAAGCACCGGCUAACUACGUG
rnacentral:rRNA from 1 species